GGUAAAUCUCGUGCCAGCAACCGCGGUUACACGAGAGACCCUAGUCGAUAGAUACGGCGUAAAGAGUGGUUAGGGGUACAAAAUUUGAUAAAGUUAAACCACCUCCAAGCUGUUGAUAAGCACUACGAGACCAUGAAACCCAAUAACGAAAGUAACUUUAUUUUUCCUGAAUCCACGAAAGCUAAGAAACAAACUAGGAUUAGAUACCCCAC
rnacentral:rRNA from 1 species